rnacentral:sRNA from 1 species
CUUUGAUGGUUUCUUUUUU